UCCCGCAACGAGCGCAACCCUUGUCCUAGUUGCCAUCAUUUGGUUGGGCACUCUAUUGAGACUGCCGGUGACAAACCGGAGGAAGGUGGGGAUGACGUCAAGUCCUCAUGGCCCUUAUGGGUAGGGCUUCACACGUCAUACAAUGGUCGGUACAGAGGGUUGCCAAGCCGCGAGGUGGAGCCAAUCCCUUAAAGCCGAUCGUAGUCCGGAUCGCAGUCUGCAACUCGACUACGUGAAGUCGGAAUCGCUAGUAAUCGCAGAUCAGCAUGCUGCGGUGAAUACGUUCCCGGGUCUUGUACACACCGCCCGUA
rnacentral:rRNA from 1 species